ACAAGGCGUACUAAAUAUCUGAAAAAGGUUACACCAUUGGAUCAUCUCGGCUGGAUAAUAAUACUAACUCCAAUCUUUGGGUUGACCUUUACCAACUCGCCUUUCAGAAAUAAUAAUCAAUAGUGCUACAUCUUGGCGGUCACACUUGUGUAUCUCGGUGCGCCUACCCAUACGUAUUAUCUGGUUAGUCUAUACAUUCGUUGUAGUAUAUGUAUGCUUGUAUGUGCUUAUAUGACACUAGGUAUAUCUAUUUCCUUCCAUGGCUAUGCCACUUAUGUUUGAUGCUGUGAUGUACUCAGCUAUCUUCCUUGCUGUCAACUAUAGGUUACAUGUUCCUCUAGACAUAUUAUAGUGCUGGACCGAUUAACUGUGAAACACCUCGUGUACGUAGACCUUGUGUAUGUAGGAGCUAUGUGCUUUUGAUCUAACCUAAGCAGUCGUUGGUAUGUGUAAUAUAUUUCCUUCUGUUAUCUAUUUGUGCUUGGCAAGUGAGUAAUCUAUUUUAUCCAUUGAGUGUUUGUGGUAAAAAAACUCAACUAUUUCAAUAAAAACUUGCUAGGGCGUGCAAUGUUAUGAUGCCUGGAUUAUAUAAUUUUACCUCUUGCUUCAUAUAUUCCCUAUAGUUUCGUAGUUGUAGAAUCUCUGCUUUUUGGCUGUUGUAGACUGCUCAUUCAACUUUGAAUUUUCAUUCUCAUACAUGUGUUUGCCUUCUCGUAUGAUUCAGUCGUAUCAUGCAGGUUGUUGAGGUUCUAACAAUUAUCAUGCUUGAGACGAUACUGAAGCCCAACCACAAGUACACGGCUCACAUGGCUGAAGAGGCAAAAUAGUGCCCACCAUCAUGUUCUACCUGUCAAUUCACCGCCGUUAGCCUUCUUAUGGGAGUCUUUCACUGUAUAGAAGUACUAAUGGACAGUUUGGAGGACGCAAAUAAAAUACACUGAAUCUACACUACUUAAAAAGCACGAACAUGUUCCCUAUUCUGCCACUACAACAUUCCCUUCGUCGCUUCAUCGUCGCGCAUCGCUCGCUCCUAUGGGCCUGGCCCAAAUCCUUCGCUGACCGCAAGAUUUUCCAGACCGCGUGGAGUCGUGAAGGUUGCAUCCCUGCUCGUCCGGAACAACAGUUACCGAGGGAGGAGCCAAGCGUCCGAGCUAGGGUUUCACCCCGCCGCCGCCGCUCACUCCAGACGAUGGUCCGCGCUUCGUCCCCGGUCCGCCACCCCCACUUCUCCGAGCACGACGACGGCAACGGUGCGCGCUCGCCUCGCCCUCUCCGACCUUCGCCUUCAACCAUCACCAAGGACGACAUGCUCCGCACGCGCUACACCACCCUCACUCGCGGCGAUUGGCGGCUAGAAGGGGCCGAUGUUUGCUGAUCUUGGCGGGAUGGAGGCGGUGCUUGGCGAGUUGAUGAUGGAGGUGGUGGUUCCGCUGACCACGAGUGAAUCCUCCUCCGAGCUCUCCCCCUUCGAUUGUGCCACACCUACGACCUCAGCAUGAUCUGUAGCGGUGGCGCUAGGUCUUCGACCCCAAUCCAUGGUGGCGCCAGGUCUUCGUUUGUCCCUCACCUGCGAGACCAAAGCAGCAAGCGGCUCCCUGAAGAUCUGUUCGCGUGCCACAUCAACAUCCCAGGCGAGCCUGAUGCGGUGAGCCACCGUCUUGCAGUUUACUACUUCUGGAGUACUCUCUCUGUACGGCUGUACCAAUUCUAUAUCCUGAUGCAGACAUUUUCAAUAGUUCGUCUCAGUUUAGAUAGGAUUCUUCAGUGGUAAGUAAUAUAUAUAUCAGUGCGAACACUUUGCUUAAUUGUAGCAUAACGCCGAUCAAAUAAUUUGCAUAUGAUCGAUUAAGUAUCUGGACAAAUCAUCUCUUAAAGAAUCCUUAGUUUUCAGGGUAGUUGUUCUCAUAAUUUUUGUCUACAGAAGUUUGUCUGAUGGGUGGCAGUUUGUAAACAGAAGUUAGUUUUCAGGGUAGUUGUUCAUAUAAUCAUUACAAAGGUGUGCAGGCUACAUCAGCAGAAGUACAACACACCAUUAAAGUAUUCAGCUUUCGUCAAAAUCAAGCGUCAAGAGUUGCUGGUGAUUAUUUCACAGGAAGAUCAAAGAUAUAUAUAUUGUUUAACUAGGGCGCAUAGGCCACCAGCUCGUCACAAUCGUCUUCCGACGACAAGCAGAAGCUGGCGACUUUUGGAUUGUGAACCUACCAAGGUUUGAUGGCUUGAAGAAGAACUUGACGGAUUGUGCAUACGUUUGUACAAUGAGCGCAUUGAGUUGAGGGCAAACAUUAGGCUAUUCUGCCCGUGUCGGCCUCUAAGUGUCAAUGAGAUCUCCUGUGGGUGCCCAACAGUGGUUGAGGUCUAUCCGUUCUAGGAGACUGACCUUCGGUAUGUUCCCACAUAGAAAUUUGAUAAUGCUUGUGGACCAGCUGAUGAUCAAGGUAUCCAUUGUUCCUACCCUGUUUGAGAUACCCUAAAUUCUGUUUCAAAUUCAUAGUUUUGUGAUAUGAAAUGGAGGCUAAUAGCAUCCCGGGGAAACAAAUAUCUACUCUUAAUUUAAUAAUCUGACUGAGCUAAUGGUGUAUAUAUGCAUUCCUUGUAUCUUAGAUAUGAGUGUAUUGUUGAAGGAUAAUAAUGUGUAAUACUAUAAUUGUUUCCUCCAGAUAGGGCAGUGUAAUUCUUGAUGAUAUCAGUUUUGGAUGAGCUGGUUCGAAAUAUUUGCAUUAUUCGUUGUUAACUAGCACAUAAUUUUUCUGAAUGGCCGGUAUGCCUAAAUUGCUGCACCUUUUCUAACAGGCAAAUAUGCCUAAGCAGUACCCUACCACUAAUGGGAGCGCCACUUGUUGUGCACAGCUUAAGGGCAUUCUGUCAAAUGAAGGAAGUCGUAGUGGUGUGUAACCCAUCCUACACAAAUAUAUUUGAAGGUUCCGAUGUUGUCUGACUCAUCCUACAUUCAUUUGCCUUUAUCUACUUGGCAUCUAUACCUUAUUAAAAUUAAGUUAUGUGACUAAAUUUAGAGUCUCUGAGUAAGAAUUUCAAUGAUUUAACCACUACGACAGUUGAAAUCUUGCAAAUACCUGUUAAAUUUACAUGACUGAGAAAAGAGAGACAAAACUCUAUUUUUAACGGACUUCAGGUUAGUUGUAUCCCACCUCAGAUAUUGCUGCUUACGCUGAUUCUGUACAUAACUACUGCAGGUAUCUUCAUGCGUUUUAUAAAUAAAAAAGUAUUCGUAGGAAAUUGAUGGAGAUUCAAAACUUGUUUGUGUCCAUGAUUCUGCUCGUUCCAAUACAAGACACAUCCACAUGUAGUUAGAAGCGAAUUUGGUAGUCUGGAUGUUGGCAGUUAGUCCUGGAUAGAUGCUAGCUUAUACUGCUUGUGUUUUCAGCUGGCAUUGGCUCGUGAGCAUGCCAUUUGGUGGGGGCAAUGCGUCUGUUUGGGAAAAUAUUGGAUGUAUAACUAAUUACAGGUUCUUCUUUCAGUCUCCGUGUCCGCAGUAGUGUUGUAUUGGCACAUUGGUAUGUUUUCAGGAGGAAGAUCCUGGUUGGUAUUCGAGAGUUCGCUGAGUUCAACCCUCAGCAGGUUGUAGAUAUUGAAAUGCAUGUAAGUCAUGGUUUUCUCUGCCAAAGUAAUACCGUUUCUCUGUUUAUUAAUAAUCCCUAACCGAUGUGGAAGCAUGUCCUAUAUGCAAAGAUUACAGUGAGGAACUUAGAUUGUUAUUAUUACCGAAUUGAGUAUGUUGUAAGACGCAUGGGGAUAUAAGUAAAUUUUUCUCCAAAAUAGUCUGCAAGCUAAAUAUCAAGUUUUUGGUUUGUUCGUUUGGGCUAAUAUUUCCUAGGUACAAUGAAUAUCAAGUUUUUUGGUUAUCAGUUUUUGCCUAAUUUUUUUAAGUUGCUUUUUCGAUUAUGCAAAUUACCGAUGAUGUGGAGGUGGUUUGGGAAUUGUUUCAAUUUUGAUAUUCGAAGCAUAGGUAUGUAUUGUUCAGUAGAAGUUUAUAGAUAUAACCAGGAAGGUUAACUAGGAAGAAGUGGUAACUACAAUUGUCCCAUAGAUUACAUGCUACCUAACUGUACUUGACUUUUUUCCCUUUCCAGGAAUUUAAUUUCUAUGGUGCUAUGAGAGAAAGGCAUGUUCACCUCCCUCAAAUUUACGUUCCAAAUACUGCAAAUGCAUCACAAUGGAUAUUUCCAUCAUCACCUCAAACUAUGAUGUCUUCUCUCAGUAUUAUGAGAUUCUUUUCCGGAAAAUCUAUUGGUGAAAAUGGAUAACUUUCAUUUACAUGGCAUAUGCUUAUAGGUUUGGCUUAUUGAAUUAUCAUAUUGUAAUACUUUGACUUCUGUGAGGUCACUGAUUAACCUAUGCUAAACAUAUGCAAAUGAUUACAUGUUUACCACAUAUCCGGUUGAGACAAGGUCUGUCAUUUCUCUUUCAUGGCGCCAAGUCUGGGUUGUGGGCCUAUGGCGAGCCUCCUCCCCCGAGUGCCAUAACCAAUGACAAGCGGCGGAGAAAAAACAUGGGCGUGCAACCAGGGAUAGGUAAUGGCGGCAGCGGUGGGGAGAAGGUGCUCGUCAAGGUUAGCGGCUAGAAGGCAAGGACUGGGCAGUUCGGUCCCGUUAGUGGGGAGGCAAGGAAAGGAUUCUUGACCAAAGGAAAAUGGAGGGAGGCAGAAUGUGAGAAGGUCGAAGUGGGGAGGCAGACGAGAGGCACUAAUAGGGUGGUCGUGUUCCAGUUUGGGUGUGAAUUUCUUUUAUAUUUUUGCAGUGUCAUGACUCAAGGAAAGUUUCAAGUUAAUUAAGGCUUAAAAAGAAAGUUUGGUUAUGUGUAUGUGGCUGCAAAACUAUGGCUUCUCAAUAUGUAUCAGUAUGCUAAAUGCAUUUAAAACUCGUUGCUAUAAAUUACGGCUUCUCGAAAUGCACUUUAAUUGAAUGCCAAACUACAUGGUUAUCAAAACGUAAAGAUAUCAUGGGACCAUGGCAAGACAUUUCGCUAUAACUAUAGAAGUGAGGAGGAACACAUGUUUUUAUCAAGUGCAAGGAGUUUAACUUGGUGUGUGGCGAAACAUGGAUUGGAGCAUGUUUACCAUAAACGAUUGCCUUGACAGAUGCUGAUGAAUAUCGAAGCAAUUGAGGACUCAACUGAUGACUGCUUGAUGGAGUAAUCAGUAUAGUAUCCGUGUAGGAGAUAUUUCUUUCUCGGUUGAAGAUGUUGCUCACAGGGCUUAAUGCCAUUCUAUAUAUGUGCAUUAAGAAAAAAAAUGAAAUUUGAGACCCGUGGCAACGCACGGGCAUUUGU